rnacentral:rRNA from 1 species
GAUGAACGCUGGCGGCGUGCCUAACACAUGCAAGUCGAACGAAGCGAUUUAACGGAAGUUUUCGGAUGGAAGUUGAAUUGACUGAGUGGCGGACGGGUGAGUAACGCGUGGGUAACCUGCCUUGUACUGGGGGACAACAGUUAGAAAUGACUGCUAAUACCGCAUAAGCGCACAGUAUCGCAUGAUACAGUGUGAAAAACUCCGGUGGUACAAGAUGGACCCGCGUCUGAUUAGCUAGUUGGUAAGGUAACGGCUUACCAAGGCGACGAUCAGUAGCCGACCUGAGAGGGUGACCGGCCACAUUGGGACUGAGACACGGCCCAAACUCCUACGGGAGGCAGCAGUGGGGAAUAUUGCACAAUGGGCGAAAGCCUGAUGCAGCGACGCCGCGUGAGUGAAGAAGUAUUUCGGUAUGUAAAGCUCUAUCAGCAGGGAAGAAAAUGACGGUACCUGACUAAGAAGCCCCGGCUAACUACGUGCCAGCAGCCGCGGUAAUACGUAGGGGGCAAGCGUUAUCCGGAUUUACUGGGUGUAAAGGGAGCGUAGACGGUAAAGCAAGUCUGAAGUGAAAGCCCGCGGCUCAACUGCGGGACUGCUUUGGAAACUGUUUAACUGGAGUGUCGGAGAGGUAAGUGGAAUUCCUAGUGUAGCGGUGAAAUGCGUAGAUAUUAGGAGGAACACCAGUGGCGAAG